rnacentral:rRNA from 1 species
UACGUAGGCAGCGAGCGUUGUUCGGAGUUACUGGGCGUAAAGAGUGCGUAGGCGGUUUUCUAAGUUUGGUGUGAAAUCUCCCGGCUCAACUGGGAGGGUGCGCCGAAGACUGGAAGGCUAGAGUGUGGGAGAGGUAAGCGGAAUUCCUGGUGUAGCGGUGAAAUGCGUAGAUAUCGAGAGGAACACCUGCGGCGAAGGCGGGUUGCUGGGCCGACACUGACGCUGAUGCGCGAAAGCCAGGGGAGCGAACGGG